rnacentral:lncRNA from 1 species
CAAACUUUUUGCUGGGCACUGUAGGCAACAGAAAGAAACUGAGGGUCUGCUAUUUGUCUCCAGAGGCCUUACAAACUGGUAGAAGAUGCAUAACAGAAGAGCUUAUGAAGUUAAAGAUGACAGCAUAGCAGCACUGGUGAGAUCCUUUUAGACAUAACAUGGUAGGAAGGACUGUUUGACAAAGUGAAUGCCUGUCUUUCAGAAUAUACAGGGAGGUGUGAUGUACCCAUUAUCACAAGCAGAUGGAAUCCCUAUAGAGUCGGAUCUCAUCUACAUAUCACCUAUUAUAUGUAGUUAUUGAUGGAUAAAUACUUCAACAACUAAAGGCAGAAAGAGAGCAGUUCACAAAGACGUUAUUGGUGAUUCAAUCUUGAGUCAUGAAAAGUCAACCUUGAGCCACAAAAAGUCAACCUUGAGCCAAGCAGAUUGGAGAGUCAUACAUGCCAUUCCUGGGACCAUCAAAAAUGGCAGAGGUCACACAAAAAGGCAAAACUUUUAAGAGGUGUUUUAAACGUCGUAUGGGCCAAAGAGAAGCUGGAUUUCCUAUUGGAGUCACCUGUAACACACGUGUGACGAAAUUGGCCUGUGAGGACAAGGCAGUGAGCAGAGAGGACAGCAGUCCUUAUGAGAUCAAGCUCUAAGGUAUCCUAGACACAUUUGGAGAAUUCACCUGAGCUACAGGAUGUGGUAAGAUUUGGUGAGCAGGUGGUGAUUCUUACAGAAUCCCUCACACAUUCAUGCACAGAACUUCCCCAGCACACUCCCAGGUAGGACCACUUCCCUCUUCAUUGUGCAAAGAUUCACCACUGGUUCCAGCCUUCUCUGGCACUUUUAAGAUAUGCAUCAGGUUUUAUUCAUCUCUGAUUUUCUAGCCUCUGGCAGACUACCUGGUGUACCAGAGGCUUUGUAAGUAAUAGUUAAAUAAAGAGAAAACAUUAAAGCAACAUUGAAGGAAGAGGGUUAACCAGACUACAGAUUUGAGACCUCUAUCUCAGAGGGCCAACAGUCAUGUUGAUGUUUUCAUGCUUUCUUGGAUAUAAAAGUCACACUACACUUUCCCUCUCGGUGACCAUGUACAAAGGUUCAUUUAUAAUUAAUAGACAAAGUCUUUAAUAAAGCAAACCAAAUGUCAUCUUUCCUUUUUUCUGCAAUAUGAAGUCAUUAUUUCCACUGGAUGAAAGCACUUUUGACCUAUAAAAAUAAAAAAGUGAGAUGUUAGGUGACUUCAGUGCAUAAAAAUACUGUUUCUUGUUACCAAUAAUAUAUACUCAACCAUCGUCUUCAUCUUUAUCAUGGUCUCCUGGGGCAAACUGAAUCUGAGUUAGCAGGGUUUAAUAAAAGUUAUUCUGAACAUCUGGGUCAUUGUAGAGACACAUAUUGAAAAUUGAAACACUUUAUAUGUCAACAGAUGUUCUAGAAGAAGCCUGUCUAUUUUCUCUUAUUCAUUUAUGAGUCCAAGGAGAGGAAAAGUUCUUUGUUCAUCUCUCCAUCCAUGAUAUUAUGCUCCAUGCCUGAACCUCACCUAAUGCCUACUAUGUUUUACCAGUGUUGAAGGAGUACCAAGAAGCAUGAACAUCAUGAGUCCCAA